rnacentral:rRNA from 1 species
AUUGAACGCUGGCGGCAGGCCUAACACAUGCAAGUCGAACGAGUGGCGGACGUGUGAGUAAUGUCUGGGACACUGCCUGAUGGAGGGGGAUCACCACUGGAAACGGUCGCUAAUACCGCAUACCAUCAUAUGUGCCCAGAUGGGAUUAGAUUGUUGGUGGGGUAACGGCUCACCAAGGCGACGACCCCUAGCUGGUCUGAGAGGAUGACCAGCCACCCUGGAACUUAGACACGGUCCAGACUCCUACGGGAGGCAGCAGUGGGGAAUAUUGCACAAUGGGCGCAAGCCUGAUGCAGCCAUGCCGCGUGUAUGAAGAAGGCCUUCGGGUUGUAAAGUACUUUCAGCGGGGAGGCGAUACCCGCAGAAGAAGCACCGGCUAACUCCGUGCCAGCAGCCGCGGUAAUAC